rnacentral:rRNA from 1 species
GAGUUUGAUCCUGGCUCAGAACGAACGUUGGCGGCGUGCCUAAUACAUGCAAGUCGAGCGAGAAACGGGUAGCAAUACCCGGAGUACAGCGGCGAAAGGGUGCGUAUGACAUGAAGAACGUACCCUACCGUUCGGGAUAACCCAGCGAAAGCUGGGCUAAUACCGGAUACGGCCGCGGCGACGCCUGUCGCUGCGGUGAAAGACGCAAGUCGCGGUUGGAGCGCUUCAUGGCCUAUCAGCUAGUUGGCGGGGUAACGGCCCACCAAGGCAAUGACGGGUAGCCGGACUGAGAGGUCGACCGGCCACACGGGGACUGAGACACGGCCCCGACAUCUACGGAUGGCAGCAGUAGGGAAUAUUGCGCAAUGGGCGAAAGCCUGACGCAGCGACGCCGCGUGGGGGAUGAAGGCCUUCGGGUUGUAAACCCCUUUCAUGUGGGACGAACUCUGACUUAACCACAGGAAGAAGCACCGGCUAACUCCGUGCCAGCAGCUGCGGUAAGACGGAGAGUGCAAACGUUGUUCGGAUUUACUGGGCGUAGAGGGCACGUAGGCGGCCAGGCAAAUCAGUUGUGGAAUCCCGACGCCUACCGUCGGAACGGCAAUUGAAAAUACCUGGCUCGAGGGCAUGAGGGGUCGCGGGAACUCCUGGUGGAGCGGUGAAAUGCGUAGAUAUCAGGAGGAACGCCGGAGGCGAAAGCGCGCGACUGGCAUGUCCCUGACGCUGAGGUGCGAAAGCCGGGGGAGCAAACAGGAUUAGAUACCCUGGUAGUCCCGGCUGUAAACGAUGGACACUGAAUG